rnacentral:rRNA from 1 species
UAGGGAAUCUUCCGCAAUGGGCGAAAGCCUGACGGAGCAACGCCGCGUGAGUGAUGAAGGUCUUAGGAUCGUAAAACUCUGUUGUUAGGGAAGAACAAAUUUGUUAGUAACUGAACAAGUCUUGACGGUACCUAACCAGAAAGCCACGGCUAACUACGUGCCAGCAGCCGCGGUAAUACGUAGGUGGCAAGCGUUAUCCGGAAUUAUUGGGCGUAAAGCGCGCGUAGGCGGUUUCUUAAGUCUGAUGUGAAAGCCCACGGCUCAACCGUGGAGGGUCAUUGGAAACUGGGGAACUUGAGUGCAGAAGAGGAGAGUGGAAUUCCAUGUGUAGCGGUGAAAUGCGCAGAGAUAUGGAGGAACACCAGUGGCGAAGGCGGCUCUCUGGUCUGUAACUGACGCUGAUGUGCGAAAGCGUGGGGAUCAAACA